CCUACGGGGUGCAGCAGUGGGGGAUAUUGGACAAUGGGGGAAACCCUGAUCCAGCGACGCCGCGUGAGUGAAGAAGUAUUUCGGUAUGUAAAGCUCUAUCAGCAGGGAAGAAAGAAAUGACGGUACCUGAGUAAGAAGCCUCGGAUAAAUACGUGCCAGCAGCCGCGGGAAUACGUAGGGGGCAAGCGUUAUCCGGAAUUACUGGGUGUAAAGGGAGCGUAGGCGGUAAUGCAAGUCUGGGGUGAAAGACGGGGGACCAACCCCCGGACUGCCUUGGAAACUGUGUAACUGGAGUGCAGGAGAGGCAGGCGGAAUUCAUGGUGUAGCGGUGAAAUGCGUAGAUAUUA
rnacentral:rRNA from 1 species